CCCCCUGUUUAACCAAAACCAUUUCUUUUUGAUUGGAAAUAUAAAGUCUGACCUGCCCCCUGAUUAAAUUUGAAGGGCCGCGGUAUUUUGCCCGUGCAAAGGUAGCAUAAUCAUUAGUCUUUUAAUUGAAGGCUGGUAUGAAUGGUUUAACGAAGUAUUAACUGCCCCAUUAUAAUUUUUUGAAUUUAACUUUUUAGUCAAAAGGCUAAAAUGAAAUUAUAGGACGAGAAGCCCCUAUAGACCUUUAUAUAUAUAUUUAAUAAUUAUUUUUAGUUGUUUUUGAUGAUUUUUAGGUAUAUUUAUUUGGUUGGGGUGACUUGAAGAUUUAAUAAACUCUUUAUUUGUAAAGACAUAAAUUUAUGGGAGAUUGAUCCAUUAUUAAUGAUUAAAAGAUUAAGUUACCUUAGGGAUAACAGCGUA
rnacentral:rRNA from 1 species